GAUGAACGCUGGCGGCGUGCCUCAUACAUGCAAGUCGAGCGAACAGACGAGGAGCUUGCUCCUCUGACGUUAGCGGCGGACGGGUGAGUAACACGUGGAUAACCUACCUAUAAGACUGGGAUAACUUCGGGAAACCGGAGCUAAUACCGGAUAAUAUAUUGAACCGCAUGGUUCAAUAGUGAAAGACGGUUUUGCUGUCACUUAUAGAUGGAUCCGCGCCGCAUUAGCUAGUUGGUAAGGUAACGGCUUACCAAGGCAACGAUGCGUAGCCGACCUGAGAGGGUGAUCGGCCACACUGGAACGGAGACACGGUCCAGACUACUACGGGAGGCAGCAGUAGGGAAUCGUCCGCAAUGGGCGAAAGCUUGACGGAGCAACGCCGCGUGAGUGAUGAAGGUCUUCGGAUCGUAAAACUCUGUUAUUAGGGAAGAACAAAUGUGUAAGUAACUAUGCACGUCUUGACGGUACCUAAUCAGAAAGCCACGGCUAACUACGUG
rnacentral:rRNA from 1 species